rnacentral:lncRNA from 1 species
CCCUUCUUCUUCUUCAACCUCUCCUCCCACCUUAUAAAUACAAAAUCCCAUAACUCCGCCAUUGGCAACCCACAAAAUCUCUCUGUUUCUCUCAAAGAACUAAACUUUCUCCUCUUUACUUCAAAACCCAGUUCACCCACCAUGGCAAACACUCGACCCUUCACGGCAGCGGCGACAAUUCUGUUGUUGGCGAUGAUUAUACUGAUGCCGCCGGCGACAGAGGCGGCGCAGCUGGGAGACAGAGCCUGCGAGGAGAUUUACGCAGCUGGGAAACAGAGCCUGCGAGGAGAUUUACGUUGUCGGAGAAGGAGAGACGCUGAACACGAUCAGCGACAAGUGUGGCGACCCGUUUAUCGUGGAGGAGAACCCGCACAUCCACGACCCGGAUGACGUGUUCCCCGGCUUAGUCAUCAAGAUCACACCUUUCAUCGUCUCUAGUUAGUUUGAGUUUCAUUAGUUCUUUCGAUGUUUUUUUAUCAUCUUCUUGUAUAGUAUAAGAAAAAUGGAAAAGAAAAUUCAAUUUUUAAGCAAAGGGGGUUAAUUCGAAUUUGGUGGUUUUUCGAAUUCAACAGAGAUCUUUCUCAUUCAUUAUGCUCUAUUUAUCGUGUUAAAUAGAUAGUAAAAAGAAAAAAAACCGAUUGAUACUAUCAAAGAUAGUGAAUUUCGAAGCACAAAAUUUCAUAGAGAUUGCAUUUUCAUUUUCUCCACUUUCAUCUUGUGGUAAAAGUGGGUAAGAAAGAGGUUAAAAGAAGUUAAGGUGGGAAUGAGUCAUGUUUAGUGGGUGAGAAAAUGGUGGAGGAAGGUGGGGAAAAUGGGUUAGUUGGGUGGAAACUGAAAUUCGGUUCGACCCAUUAUAAGAUUCAUUCGUUCGAUUUGCUCGGUCGGUUAUUCGUGUCACCAUAUCUCACGUUAUUCCCUUAAUUAGCAUAGGUAAAUUGGGUUAGUAAUUAAUACAUGCUUAUAGUCAAAUUUAAUUCCCAACAGUAAUAAAGAUUACUGUUUGGUCUAAAAUCAAAGGGUC